GGGGAUGUACCGGCUUCGACGGGGUGGGACGUUCGGGGAAAAGCAGGUGGCAGGGUCGGCUGCCUUAAAAACGCAAAAUAGCAUAAAUGCUAACAAUUACAAUGCAGCACCCGCUGCAAUCGCUGCGUAAUCAGUUUUACACGGCCGCCCUGUCGCUCACCCUAUCGCCGAUGAGCGUCGGGCGUCAAACGAGGCGAUGAACCUUCCUGAUUUCCGAACCGCGGAUCCGGAACGCCCAUAGCGGUUUAAUCGACGUCGCGCUUUGUCGAUCGCGUACGCCGUCGAGAUAUCAAGCAAUCGACUAAACUUGUAGAAAGCCCCGGAAAUUUCACGUCGGAAGGGAGUUCAACUCUCCCCAUCUCCACCA
rnacentral:tmRNA from 1 species